rnacentral:tRNA from 2 species
GGUGUCGCCAAGCGGUAAGGCAUCGGAUUUUGAUUCCGAGAUUCGUAGGUUCGAAUCCUGCCACCC